rnacentral:rRNA from 1 species
GGGUUGUGAGGUUAAGCGACUAAGCGUACACGGUGGAUGCCCUGGCAGUCAGAGGCGAUGAAGGACGUGCUAAUCUGCGAUAAGCGUCGGUAAGGUGAUAUGAACCGUUAUAACCGGCGAUUUCCGAAUGGGGAAACCCAGUGUGAUUCGUCACACUAUCAUUAACUGAAUCCAUAGGUUAAUGAGGCGAACCGGGGGAACUGAAACAUCUAAGUACCCCGAGGAAAAGAAAUCAACCGAGAUUCCCCCAGUAGCGGCGAGCGAACGGGGAGCAGCCCAGAGCCUGAAUCAGUGUGUGUGUUAGUGGAAGCGUCUGGAAAGGCGCGCGAUACAGGGUGACAGCCCCGUACACAAAAAUGCACAUGCUGUGAGCUCGAUGAGUAGGGCGGGACACGUGGUAUCCUGUCUGAAUAUGGGGGGACCAUCCUCCAAGGCUAAAUACUCCUGACUGACCGAUAGUGAACCAGUACCGUGAGGGAAAGGCGAAAAGAACCCCGGCGAGGGGAGUGAAAAAGAACCUGAAACCGUGUACGUACAAGCAGUGGGAGCACAGAGCAAUCUGUGUGACUGCGUACCUUUUGUAUAAUGGGUCAGCGACUUAUAUUCUGUAGCAAGGUUAACCGAAUAGGGGAGCCGAAGGGAAACCGAGUCUUAACUGGGCGUUAAGUUGCAGGGUAUAGACCCGAAACCCGGUGAUCUAGCCAUGGGCAGGUUGAAGGUUGGGUAACACUAACUGGAGGACCGAACCGACUAAUGUUGAAAAAUUAGCGGAUGACUUGUGGCUGGGGGUGAAAGGCCAAUCAAACCGGGAGAUAGCUGGUUCUCCCCGAAAGCUAUUUAGGUAGCGCCUCGUGAAUUCAUCUCCGGGGGUAGAGCACUGUUUCGGCAAGGGGGUCAUCCCGACUUACCAACCCGAUGCAAACUGCGAAUACCGGAGAAUGUUAUCACGGGAGACACACGGCGGGUGCUAACGUCCGUCGUGAAGAGGGAAACAACCCAGACCGCCAGCUAAGGUCCCAAAGUCAUGGUUAAGUGGGAAACGAUGUGGGAAGGCCCAGACAGCCAGGAUGUUGGCUUAGAAGCAGCCAUCAUUUAAAGAAAGCGUAAUAGCUCACUGGUCGAGUCGGCCUGCGCGGAAGAUGUAACGGGGCUAAACCAUGCACCGAAGCUGCGGCAGCGACGCUUAUGCGUUGUUGGGUAGGGGAGCGUUCUGUAAGCCUGCGAAGGUGUGCUGUGAGGCAUGCUGGAGGUAUCAGAAGUGCGAAUGCUGACAUAAGUAACGAUAAAGCGGGUGAAAAGCCCGCUCGCCGGAAGACCAAGGGUUCCUGUCCAACGUUAAUCGGGGCAGGGUGAGUCGACCCCUAAGGCGAGGCCGAAAGGCGUAGUCGAUGGGAAACAGGUUAAUAUUCCUGUACUUGGUGUUACUGCGAAGGGGGGACGGAGAAGGCUAUGUUGGCCGGGCGACGGUUGUCCCGGUUUAAGCGUGUAGGCUGGUUUUCCAGGCAAAUCCGGAAAAUCAAGGCUGAGGCGUGAUGACGAGGCACUACGGUGCUGAAGCAACAAAUGCCCUGCUUCCAGGAAAAGCCUCUAAGCAUCAGGUAACAUCAAAUCGUACCCCAAACCGACACAGGUGGUCAGGUAGAGAAUACCAAGGCGCUUGAGAGAACUCGGGUGAAGGAACUAGGCAAAAUGGUGCCGUAACUUCGGGAGAAGGCACGCUGAUAUGUAGGUGAAGCGACUUGCUCGUGGAGCUGAAAUCAGUCGAAGAUACCAGCUGGCUGCAACUGUUUAUUAAAAACACAGCACUGUGCAAACACGAAAGUGGACGUAUACGGUGUGACGCCUGCCCGGUGCCGGAAGGUUAAUUGAUGGGGUCAGCGCAAGCGAAGCUCUUGAUCGAAGCCCCGGUAAACGGCGGCCGUAACUAUAACGGUCCUAAGGUAGCGAAAUUCCUUGUCGGGUAAGUUCCGACCUGCACGAAUGGCGUAAUGAUGGCCAGGCUGUCUCCACCCGAGACUCAGUGAAAUUGAACUCGCUGUGAAGAUGCAGUGUACCCGCGGCAAGACGGAAAGACCCCGUGAACCUUUACUAUAGCUUGACACUGAACAUUGAGCCUUGAUGUGUAGGAUAGGUGGGAGGCUUUGAAGUGUGGACGCCAGUCUGCAUGGAGCCGACCUUGAAAUACCACCCUUUAAUGUUUGAUGUUCUAACGUUGACCCGUAAUCCGGGUUGCGGACAGUGUCUGGUGGGUAGUUUGACUGGGGCGGUCUCCUCCUAAAGAGUAACGGAGGAGCACGAAGGUUGGCUAAUCCUGGUCGGACAUCAGGAGGUUAGUGCAAUGGCAUAAGCCAGCUUGACUGCGAGCGUGACGGCGCGAGCAGGUGCGAAAGCAGGUCAUAGUGAUCCGGUGGUUCUGAAUGGAAGGGCCAUCGCUCAACGGAUAAAAGGUACUCCGGGGAUAACAGGCUGAUACCGCCCAAGAGUUCAUAUCGACGGCGGUGUUUGGCACCUCGAUGUCGGCUCAUCACAUCCUGGGGCUGAAGUAGGUCCCAAGGGUAUGGCUGUUCGCCAUUUAAAGUGGUACGCGAGCUGGGUUUAGAACGUCGUGAGACAGUUCGGUCCCUAUCUGCCGUGGGCGCUGGAGAACUGAGGGGGGCUGCUCCUAGUACGAGAGGACCGGAGUGGACGCAUCACUGGUGUUCGGGUUGUCAUGCCAAUGGCACUGCCCGGUAGCUAAAUGCGGAAGAGAUAAGUGCUGAAAGCAUCUAAGCACGAAACUUGCCCCGAGAUGAGUUCUCCCUGACUCCUUGAGAGUCCUGAAGGAACGUUGAAGACGACGACGUUGAUAGGCCGGGUGUGUAAGCGCAGCGAUGCGUUGAGCUAACCGGUACUAAUGAACCGUGAGGCUUAACCUUACAACGCCGAAGGUGUUU